rnacentral:snRNA from 1 species
GUACUUCCAAAGUACAUGUACUAAAAUUGGAACGAUACAGGGAAGAUUAGCAUGGCUCCUGUAU